rnacentral:tRNA from 1 species
GGUGGCUCAGUGGUAGAGCGCUUGCCUUGUAUGCACAAGGCCCUGGGUUCGAUUCCUCAGCACCA